rnacentral:rRNA from 1 species
CAGACGAUGCGUCAUGCAUAUCAAUAAGCGGAGGAAAAGAAACUAACAAGGAUUCCCCUAGUAACGGCGAGUGAAGCGGGAAGAGCUCAAAUUUGAAAUCUUAAAGGGUUUCCCUUUACGAAUUGUAGUUUAAAGAAGUGCUUUCUGUUGAGGUUUUGGUAAAAGUUCUUUGGAAUAGGACAUCAUAGAGGGUGAGAAUCCCGUAUUUGACCUUUACUUUCAACUUUGUGAUACACUUUCAAAGAGUCGGAUUGUUUGGGAAUGCAGUCCAAAAUGGGUGGUAAAUUUCAUCUAAAGCUAAAUAUUGGCGAGAGACCGAUAGCGAACAAGUACCGUGAGGGAAAGAUGAAAAGAACUUUGAAAAGAGAGUUAAACAGUACGUGAAAUUGUCAAAAGGGAAGCGUUUGACACCAGUGUUGUUUUUCUGAAAAUCAAUUAAAGAACUGUUUAUGCUAAGCUGUUUAGACUUUAUCAGCUAUCCUGUUUAGUUUUGAGCUUUUCUUUAAUGCACUUUUCAGUUAACAAGUCAACAUCAAUUUCUUUUACUGUAAAAAAGCUUGAGGAAGGUGGCUUGAGAUUCGUCUUAAGUGUUUAUAGCCUCUUGCCUAUGCAGUCGGAGAGAUUGAGGUCUGCAGCGUAGAUCCUUCGGGGCUAAAUGCAUUUGUGCUAAGUUAUAGCACUUUAUAGACAACUUGUUGACUAUGAUUUGUCUUGUAGCUUACUCGCUUAUGUUAUUUUACCUACGCUUAGGAUGUUGACACACGCGCGUGCUCG